rnacentral:rRNA from 1 species
UUGGAGGGCAAGUCUGGUGCCAGCAGCCGCGGUAAUUCCAGCUCCAAUAGCGUGUAUUAAAGUUGUUGCAGUUAAAAAGCUCGUAGUUGAAUUUCGAGACCGGCUUAUUGGUCGUGCUUUUGUACGUACUGGUAUAAUCGGUUUCUCCUUUCUGACGAACUAUAAUGCCAUUAAUUUGGUGUUAUAGGGAAUCAGGACUGUACUUACUUAAGUAAAA